rnacentral:sRNA from 1 species
UCCGCUCAUUCCGCGGUGUCGGCUGCGGCGGCAGUGGUGGUGGCGGGUACCGCACGGGGUAUGGUCCCCGGGUCCGAGGGCCCGGCCCGCGCCGGGAGCGUGGUGGCCGACGUGGUGUUUGUGAUUGAGGGUACGGCCAACCUGGGACCCUACUUCGAGGGGCUCCGCAAGCACUACCUGCUCCCGGCCAUCGAGUAUUUUAAUGGUGGUCCUCCUGCUGAGACUGACUUCGGGGGAGACGUGAGUCUAGGGACUCCUGGGCCUGAGGGAGGAGGGGGCGGGGGCCUGGACUCCUGGGUCUGAAGGAGGGAGAAAGUGCUGGGUCUGGACUCCUGGGUCUAAGGGAGGAGGGACUGGGGGUUUGGACUCCUUGUUCUGAGGAGGAGGGCCUGGGGGCCUGGACUCCUGGGUAUGAGGGUGGAGGCGCUGGGGCUCGGAUUCCUGGGUCCGAGGGAGGAGGGGCUGGGGGCCCAGACUCCUGGGUCUGAGGGAGGAGGCUGGG